rnacentral:rRNA from 1 species
CGCCUAACACAUGCAAGUCGAGUGGGUUCAGACCCACGGCAGACGGCUGCGUAACACGUUGGUACCUGCCCCGAACUCAGGGAUAUCCCGCCGAAAGGCGGAGUAAUACCGGAUGCCCCCGCAAGGGGAAAGAUUUAUCGGUUCGGGAGGGGCCUGCGGCCUAUCAGCUCGUUGGUAAGGUAACGGCUUACCAAGGCUAUGACGGGUAGCUGAUUUGAGAGAAUGAUCAGCCAGAAUGGAACUGCGACACGGUCCAUACUCCUACGGGAGGCAGCAGUGAGGAAUCUUCCGCAAUGGGCGAAAGCCUGACGGAGCGACACCGCGUGGAGGAUGUUGCCCUUUCCGGGCGUAAACUCC